rnacentral:lncRNA from 1 species
AGAUGCCCGGAGCGGGCACCGGCACUGAGGGAAGGUGUGAGCUGCCGCCGAGGGUCCCAGGCGGAACGCGGGAAGGGAGCAGGUUGGUCACGAACUCCUGACCUCAAAUGAUCUGCCUGCCUUGGCCUCCCGAAGUGCUGGGAUUACAGACCUGAGCCACCGCACUCAGCCCUAUUGUGUCCAGAAUUGGUGGGCUCUUGGUCUCACUGACUUCAAGAAUGAAGCCACAGACCCUGGUGGUUUAUUUAACAAUGUGAAGUAGUCCUGGGAAGUUGUACUUUGAGCAAGGUCCGCAAGCAGUAUUCCUGCACUUCUCCAGUCAUGCCCCAGCGCCAGGUCGGAAGCUGUCCACAUGCGGGGAUGGAGCCUGGCGUCCUGGGCCCACAAGGACAGGGCCCUGAAUAUGGACUUAGCAGAACAAAGUUGGGAAGGCAACUGCACUCACCCCUUGUGCCUCCUGUGGUACCUGCCCUUCACGGUUCCUGGUGGGGACACUCAGGCACCAGCUUCAUGGCUGGACUCAGAUGACACAACGCCAGGAAAAAAAGUAAAAGCCCCAUUACCCUUUCCAAUGCCUAGAUAAAAUAGAUGUCUAAUAAAAACCUGCUAAUAAUCAUUUAUUGUUUGUUUAUAUACAAUUAAAACAAACAUUAAAACAAUCAUUUAAAAACACUCUUUUUUAAUGAGUGUGGGAUAAGGACGAUGAUGGCCUAUGGGGCUCCCUGUCUUACAGCCCUUGUCCUCAGGCCAUGAUUUGACCUCAGAAUGAUGGUGACUCUAGCAAGGCACUGGGAAGCCAGAUUCUGCUGCAUUUGUGUGCAAAUCCUCUAUGAGUUACAAAUGGCUCCAUGCACCAGCAAAACCUCUUAGUUCUUAAGAAAAGGAGACGGAAGAGAUUUGGACACCGAAGAGAAACACAGCCAUGCCUCAGCUCCCUGCUGGUAGGAAAAUGUGUGCCUAAGGUUGCUUUUCUCUCAAGCUUCCAUAUUUUUGUUUCCUCUUGCGGAGCUGCCGCUGGAGCUGGAGCUUGUUGGUGAAGAACAGCUGUCUCCAGCCCGUGUCCUCCGCCAGGGACCUCACGUCAGGAGUGAUGGUGUCGCAGAUCGACUGGACUAUCUGUUCCCACAGUUUAUCAGACAUGCACAGCUUCUCCAAUUCCUGCAAGGUUUUGUUGAUCAAUACUCACUCCUUAGAGAGAUCUUCCACCAUCCAAAGAUUACCUCUCUGUUGAGUCAAAGUCCAAGUUUCUCAGGAAUAGUGGUGAGUUCUCCAUGUCAUGAUCUACUGGCCAGCAUCAGGUAACAUGCCCUCCAUCCCAUCUGUAGUUCGUUAUCAGUUGCACAGGUCAAGGCUGCAGGAUUCUCCUCCUGGUACCCUCUUGGCAACACUGCCCCACUGGUGGCUGCAGAAGAAGGUGCCUAAUGGCUCCCUGAAUACCGCAGGAGGCUAGGGAGCUGGGAGGGUGUCUUAACCUGUCCACCCACCACCUCCUUUAGCAAAGUGCUGGGGAUGCGAGGCACUUUAGAUUUCUCGGCUGGCUCUCCCAUUCAUCUGCAGCCCUGUGAGAAAGGUCGGGUGGAGGUUUGCUCAGCCACUGGUUUACUGACCUUCACUCCCCAACUUGAUUGAAAGCUGAGGAUGCCUCACGGGAAACAGGCAUGAGCCACCGCGCCUGGCCUGUUUUGUUUUGUUUUGAGACAGAGUCUUACUCUGUCGCCCAGGCUGGAGAGCAGUGGCAUGAUCUCCGCUCACUGCAACCUCUGCCUCUUGGGUUCAAGCGAUUCUCAUACCUCAGCCUCCUGAGUAGCUGGGAUUACAGAUUAUAAUCUUACAAUUACUUACAAGAUUCUAUAAUUACUUACAAGAUUAUAAUCUUACAAUUACUUACAAGAUUCUAUAAUUACCUGCAAGAUCAUCAUCUUACAAUUACUUACAAGAUUCUAUAAUUACUUACAAGAUUAUAAUCUUGUAAGUAAAGAAAUUCUGAUACUGAGGGGAAACCCCCUACCCCUAUAAAGAUAUCACAAGUCAUUCUGGAGAAGAUCUUUAAAGAUAGCACCUUGUAGCCGGGCACGGUGGCUCACGCCUGUAAUCCCAGCACUUUGGGAGGCCAAGGCAGGCGGAUCACCAGGUCAGGAGAUCGAGACCAUCCUGGCUAACAUGGUGAAACCCCGUCUCUACUAAAAAUACAAAAAAUCAGCCGGGCGUGGUGGCAUGUGCCUGUAGUUCCAGCUACUCGGGAGGCUGAGGCAGAAGAAUCGCUUGAACCCAGGAGGUGGAGGUUGCAGUGAGCCGAGAUUGUGCCACUGCACUCCAGCCUGGGUGACAAAGUGAGACUCUGUCUCAAAAAAAAAAGAAAAAAAAAUAGCACCUUGAAAAUUAAGAACAUUCCAUUCAUUUCAAGUUUGAUAGGGUUUGGUACAAAUAUCUACUUUACCAGGAUAGUAGAAAAUAUGGCACUGGCUGGACACAGUGGCUCACACCUGUAAUCUCAGCACUUUGGGAGGCCGAGGCAGGCAGAUCACGAGGUCAGGAGUUCGAGACCAGCCUGGCCAAGAAGGUGAAACCCUGACUGUAAAAAUACAAAAAUUAGCCGGGUGUGGUAGCAUGGGCCUGUAAUCCUAGCUACUCGGGAGGCUGAGGCAGAGAACUGCUUGAACCUGGGAGGUGGAGGUUGCAGUGAGCCAAGAUCACAGCCACUGCACUCCAGCCUGAGCAACAAAGCGAGACUCCGUCUCAAAAAAAAAAAAACAAAAAACAAAAUAAAAAAAACCAUUGUGGUCUAAUCCAUAUGUCUUUUUUCUGAAUUCAUUUGAACUCAUUCGCUGCUAUCACUGACAGUUUAAAGGCUGGGCGUGGUGGCUCACGCCUGUAAUCCCAGCACUUUGGGAGGCCAAGGCAACAUGGCAAAAUCCCGUCACUACAAAAAAUACAAAAAAUUCAAAAAAUUAGCCGAGUGUGGGCCAGGCAAGGUGGCUCACACCUGUAAUCCCAGUACUUUGGGAGGCCAAGGCGGGCGGAUCAUGAGGUCAAGAGAUGGAGACCAUCGUGGCCAACAUGGUGAAACCCCAUAUCUAAUAAAAAUAAAAAAAUUAGCUGGAUGUGGUAGCAGGUGCCUGUAGUCCCAGCUACUUGGGAGGCUGAGGCAGGAUAAUCGCUUGAACCCAGGAGGCAGAGGUUGCAGUGAGCUGAAAUCACGCCACUGUACUCCAGCCUGGCGACAGAGCGAGACUCUGUCUCAAAAUGAAACAAAACAAAAAAUUAGCUGAGUGUGGUGGUGCACACCUGUGGUCCCAGCUACUCCAGGAGGCGGAGGUAGGAGAUCACUGGAGCUCAGCAAUGGAGGCUUCAGUAAGCUGAGAUCACACCACCAAGAGUAAGACCCUGUCUCAAAAAAUCAAAACAAAAUUUAAAAAGCACACAGUUUAAAUAUUGUAUGUAGGCAUUGAAAACAUUUUGGAGUUAAUUUCUUUCUUUUUUUUUUUUUUCUUGAGAUGGGGUCUUGCUCGGUUGCCCAGGCUGGAGUGCAGUGGCAUGAUCUCGGCUCACUGUAAGAUCUGCUUCCCAGGUUCAAGUGAUUCUCCUGCCUCAGCCUCCUGAGUAGCUGGGAUUACAGGCACACACCACCACGCCAGGCUAAUUUUUGUAUUUUUAGUAGAGAUGGGGUUUCACUAUGUUGGCCAGGCUGGUCUCACUCUCUUGACCUCAGGUGAUCCACCCACCUUGGCCUCCUAAAGUGCUAGGAUUACAGGCAUGAGCCACCGUGACUGGCCUUUGGAGUUAAUUUCUAAGAAAAGGAAGUGGGCACAAGUAAGAUGUAUUUCAUCUUAAGAACUCAUUCAGAAAUUUACAGUUUUUUUUUUUUUUUUUUUUAAGAUGGAGUCUCACUCACUCUUGCCCAGGCUGGAGUACACAGGCGCCCUCUCGGCUCACUGCAAGCUCCGCCUCCUGGGUUCUCACCAUUCUCCUGCCUCAGCCUCCCGAGUAGCUGGGACUACAGGCGCCCGCCUCCACACCUGGCUAAUUUUUUGUAUUUUUAAUAGAGACAGGGUUUCACCAUGUUAGCCAGGAUGGUCUUGAACUCCUGACCUUGUGAUCUGCCCACCUCGGCCUCCCAAAGUGCUGGGAUUACAGGCGUGAGCCACCACGCCCGGCCAAUUUACAGCCUUUUUUUAAAAAAAUAGAGAGUGGGGUCUUUCUCUAUUGCCAAGGCUGGGGUGCAAUUGCAUAAUCAUAGCUCACUGCAGCCUCGAUCUCCUGGGUUCAAACCAUCCUCCCUGCCUCAGGCUUCCUAGUAGCUAGGAUUACAGGUGCAUGCCACCACACUAAUUUAUUUAUGUAUUUAUUUUUAGAGGGGAAGACAGCGGGGAAUCUAGCUGUGUUACCCAGGCUGGUCUCUAAUUCCUAGCCUCAAACGAUUGUCCUUCCUCAGCCUCCCGAGUAGCUGUUAUCAGCAUGAGCCAUUGCCCCUGGCUGAAAUUUAUAGUCUUUAUGUAUGAAUUCAUAAACAUCAUGAAGCUUUGCCCAUAGCAUUUCUGAAAGUGGAACUUGGCUCAUGUGAAUUCUCAUAACAAAAGAGCAAUUGCCAAAACAAGCAACUUUCUCUAAAUAGAGGCGAAAUAAUAGUCUUACAGAGUAAAUCUUCACAAUGUAAAAACAUAGAGUCAGUUCACUAAAUAUUCUCUAAAACAUGCUUCCAACAUGCUGUUAAGUGGAAAAAACCUUUAUGAUAUAGUAUUACUGUAUAAAUUCACCUCUUAACAGAAAAAUAUACCAUAUAGGCAGAUUUAAAGUUUUAUUUUUUUUUUUUUUGGAGACAGAGUCUCACUCUGUCACCUAGGCUGGAGUCCAGUGGUGUGAUCUUGGCUCACUGCAACCUCUGUCUCCCAGGUUCAAGCAAUUCUUCUGCCUCAGCCUCUCCCGAGUAGCUGGGAAUACAGGCACCCACGCCACGCCCAACAAAUUUAUGUAUUUUUAGUAGAGACAGGGUUUCACCAUAUUGGUCAGGCUGGUAUCGAGCUCCUGACCUCAGGUGAUCCACCUGCCUCAGCCUCCCAAAGUGCUGGGAUUACAGGCGUGAGCCACUGCGCCUGGCCGAUUUAAACAUCUUAAAGGAAACACAUGCAAGUGUAACUAGGGUUGUUUCUAGAUAAUGGGACCAUGGGGAUUUCUAUUUCUUCUUUGACAUAUUUGUAUUUUCCACUUUUUUCUAUAAUGAACAUCUAUCGUUAAAACAGUUAAGAUACUGAGUAUUAGUAAGAUAAAAUAUGCAAAUAUAAAAGAAAUAUACCAAAUGUCAACAGUGGUUGUCACUAGAUGAUGGCAUCAUCUGAGAUUUUUAUUUUCAACUUUUUUUUUUUUUAAGACGGAAUCUUGUUCUGUUGCCCAGGCUAGAGUAUAGUGGCACAAUCUCGGCUCACUGCAACCUCCGCCUCCUGGGUUCAAGCUAGUCUCCUGCCUCAGCCUCCCAAGUAGCUGGGACUACAGGUGUGUACCCCCAUGCCAGGCUAAGUUUUGUAUUUUUAGUAGAGACAAGGUUUUGCCACGUUGGCCAGGCUGGUCUCAAACUCCUGGCCUCAAGUGAUCCUCCUGCCUUGGCCUCCCAAAGUGCCGUAAUUACAGGGGUGAGCCACCUUGGCAGGCAAAUUUUCAUCUUUAACUUCUAUGUUUUCUGAAUUUUCCACAAAAAGCAUAGAUUAGAAUUAUAUUGGUAAUAUCACAUAUUAUAUCACCUCAUAGUAGAUGAAUGGGAAGAGGAAGAUAAGUGGUUACAGAGUUAGAAGGGUCACUUCAAUAAACUAAAACUAAUAACUUCUCAUUAUCGUCAACUGCUAUAGAGUCUUUCUUUUAAAGAUGUGUAAUUGUCAAUAGCAGGAUCCCUAAAUGAAGCAGAUAAAGAUGUGAUUUGCAAGUAGCAAUGACACCUUCAUACUGGUCCUAAUGAUAGAGGGGUUCCCUAACUCAACACUGCCCCGUUCCUGUGGUCAGAGCACCUCUCUCUGAUGUCGUCAGGAACAACCCCAGGCCAAAUUCAAGUGAGAAAACUGGAGCUUAACAGUGGUUCCUAGGGUUACUUGGAUCCAAAGAAUCAAUUGCUGAAGUAGAAGUUGAGGGAGGUGUGAGUCAAGAACAGCCUCUGUAGAAACAACUUCAGGCUUUUAGUUGACAAUGGGCUCGGUAUGAGUCAUCCUAGUGACAUGGGCUCUUGGCCAAAGAAUUGCACUGAGGAUGAGGGACAUGAUGGUGACCUGCUGCCAGCAGCCCAGCAGCCCACGCCACAAGCAAUACUUUCAGUUCUGGGUGCUUUACUGUAAAUGGGACAAGGAGGAGAGGAAUCAAAGUGCUUAGGGACUUCAAGUCACGUACCUCAAGGAAUGUUUGGAGAAGCUGAGAAAGAAAACUCAGGGGGCGGGGCGCGGUGGCUCACGCCUGUAAUCCCAGCACUUUGGGAGGCUUUGGUGGGCAGAUAGCUUGAGGCUGGGAGUUUGAGACCACCCUGGCCAACAUAGCAAAACCCCAUAUCUACUAAAAAAUACAAAAAUUAGCCAGGUGGCGGCGCAUGCCUGUAAUCCCAGCUACUGGGGAGGCUGAGGCAUGAGAAUCACUUGAACUUGGGAGCCAAGAUUGUGCUACUGCAAUCCAGCCUGGGCGACAGAGUGAGACCCUGUCUCAAAAAAAAUAAAAAAGAAAAAGAAAAGAAAACUCAGGGGACCCUAACAGCUACCUGCCUUAACAUACCUGGUAUGUUACCUGGUAAGCUAUCAAGUUCAGGUCAAUUAAAUUUGUUCCAUGUGGUUCUACAGGAAGUAGCCAGGACCAGUGUAGUGGGGCUGCAGUUGGAAUUAUACUGAGACAGACCUUGAAACAGGAGAAAGGAUUUUUGAGUAGUUUGAAAUGGCGGAAGAUACACUGGUCUUGAACCUGCUCCUCAAAGUGUGGUGCAGAAUUGCAGCCUGGCUUCAGAGGAAGCCUAUUAGACAAGUACUAGGUCUCAGCCCCCAGCUCAGACCUACUGAAUCAGUGCCUGCAGUUUAAAAAGAUGCCCAGGGCCAGGCACAGUGGCUCACACCUGUAAUCCCAGCACUUUGGGAGGCUGAGGCAGGCGGAUCACCUGAGGUCAGAAGAUCAAGACCAGCCUGACCAACAUGGUGAAACCCCCGUCUUUACUAAAAACACAACAAUUAGCCAGGCAUAGUGAUGGGUGCCUGUAAUCCCGGCUACUCAGUAGGCUGAGGCAGGAGAAUCGCUUGAACCUAGGAGGCGGAGGUUGCAGUGAGCCAAGAUUGUGUCACUGCACUCCAGUCUGGGAGACAGAAUGAAACUCCAUCUCAAAAAAAAAAAAAAAAAAAGAUACUUUGCCUGAAAACAUAAUGAGCAUAUUUGAAAAUGUCAGUAGCAUACACUUUUAAAAAUAAAUGUAAAUAAGUAAAUAGAGACAAAAGACAAAUCUCCCAUGUAGUGUUCCAGAUAAUUUCGGUAGAUACUCCACCUCCUAACUCCCACUCUUUAUACAUGGGUUGUACAUGGUGAAUGACCAAAGAGGAUGGUAUGGAAAAUGGGGAAAAAAAGAGUAACUUUACAGUGGAGAAACUGACAAACACUACUUCAGCCAGGUAAUUAAUAGCGGAGAGAGCAAGCGUGUAUGUCCUGUGUUUUUCAACCUUGCUGACACCCUAUAGUCUUGUGGGGAACAGUCUGGUGAAGCAUAAAGAUCUUGGAUCUGGAGUCAGCCAGCUCUGAGCUCCAAUCCUACCUCUGUGUGCUCUUGGGGCAGUCACUCAACCUCAUUGAGUCUGUUUCCCCAUCUGUGAGAAGAGGAUUAGAAUGCAGCGAUGAGGCCGAGUGCAGUGGUUCAAACCUGUGAUCCCAGUACUUUGGGAGAUCAAGGCAGGAGAAUCGCUUGAGCCCAGGAGUUCAAGACCAGCCUGGGCAACAUAGAGAGACCUCCAUCUCUACAAAAAAUUUAAAAAUUAGCUGGGUGUGGUGGUGCACACCUGUAAUCUCAGCUACUUAGGAGGCUGAGUGGGGAGGAUUACUUGAGCCUGGGAGGUUGAGGCUGCAGUAAGCUAUGAUGGUGCCACUGCACUGCAGCUUGGGUGACAGUGAGACCUUGUCUUAAAAAAUACAUGACAUUAAAAAAGAAAAAGAAUGCAGUGACGUCUGUCUGGCCCUUAGCAACUGUGAGUGCUGUUGGAAUCAUAUUCUAUUUGAAGGCAGCUCCAAAGUACUGGAGUGGAGUCAGGGGUGGCUUUGCAGAAGGGUCCUGCUGCUAACACAGUUUCCCUCGGGCAGAUCCCCUCAUACUGCCAGACUUUCCAGUCCUUCACUCAUUCUUCACUAAAGCUGCAAGGGGCCAGGGCGAGAUGGUUCACGCCUAUAAUCCCAGCACUUUGGGAGGCUGAGGUGGGUGGAUUGCUUGAGAUCAGGAGUUUAAAACCAGCCUGGCCAACAUGGCAAAACCCUGCCUCUACAAAAAAAAAAUACAAAAAUUAACCAGGCGUGGUGGCGUGCGCCUAUAAUCCCAGCUACUCCAGAGGCUGAGGCAUUAGAAUUGCUUGAACCCAGGAGGCAGAGGUUGCAGUGAACUGAGAUCGCGCCACUGCACUCCAGCCUAGGCGACAGGGCGAGACCCUCUCUCAAAAAAAAAAAAAAAAGCUCCAAGGUCAAGGGCUUUUCAGACCCUCUUGGUCCAUUUGGUUAGGGGGUGUUUUCACAGAGCUUUGCCUGUUAGCUUUAUGGGACCCGGAGGGCAUACUUUAUAGAACACAAUUUUCAUACCAGUGUCUCUAACCACAAACCCCAAGAGUCUGAACGUUGAGACACUCAGGAAGUUGAAAGGGACCUCUCCUCUUCAGAGGCCCGGCCCAGCUCUCAGGAAUGGCAUGCAUCAAAAGGCAGGAAGUCCCUCACAAGUCUGUCCUAUCAAGCCACCAGACACUGGUUACCUUUAUGUGGCUGCACAAGAGGCUGAGUUCCCAGGGAGGGGCGAGGUGGUCUGGGGCCUUCAAGCCGUGGUGGAACCCACGCCUGAGAAGCGAGGCCUGCCGCUCCCACCACAGGAAGCCUGGCCCCCGCCAGCAACAGAGAGACUCAGAGCCCGGGCCUCGAUGCCCUCAUGGGAUAAGUGGCAUUUUGGUUCCUGUUUCCUUCCCUCUCUGUUUUUCUUUUCAUAGAUUCUCCAUGCAAAUAUUAAACAUGUCCUGCAAAUCUCAGGAACCAGCACACAGAGAAACACAGAGAAGAGUGAGUGGCCUUCUUCCAAGACCUGGUUUAUCAAAGGUCUGAGGCAGUCCUGAUCCGCUGCUCUCCUCCUGCUGGCUGAGCCUCGCCGCUGGCUCAGUGGCCCAGGGUGCCAGCUCCCUUUCCUGGGCCUCCCGGGAAAGGAGAGGGAGAAGGUUGAGGGAGCAAGAGGGUCCCAGGGCUGCCUCCAGGGCUGGCCUGGCAAGUUGCAGCUCUGCCCCUGGGGAUUUCCCUGCAGCCAAUGGCUGUGGAAGAGGAAAGGAGAGGACCUUUUGAUGUGGUGGAGAAGCAUCAUUGUAGAAGAAAGAGGAAUGAGUAACAGGUUGGCCAGGGAACCAUGGUGGGGCAUGGUGGCUCCUGCCUGUAUUCCCAGCACUUUGGGAGGCCAAGGUGGGCCGAUCACUUGAGGCCAGGAGUUUGACACCAGCCUGACCAACAAGGUGAAAUCCCUUCUCUACUAAAAAUACAAAAAUUAGCCGGGCAUGGUGGUGAGCACCUGUAGUCUCAGCUACUUGGGAGGCUGAGGCAGGAGAAUCACUUGAACCCAGGAAGCAGAGGUUGCAAUGAGCCGAGAUCGUGCCACUGCACUCCAGCCUGGGUGACAGUGAGUAAGACUCCGUCUCAAAAAAAAAAAAAAAGUAAAAGGUUGGCCAGGGAGCCUUGCUGGCCUCCUGAAGGCAGCCAAACAUUAAACACACCUGCAGUCACAGAGUCCAGCUUAAGAAAGAGGCAGACCAGGAAGUGAAAGUGAAGAAAGAACGGGAGGAGAGAUGGGUGGGGGCGCGGAUCAAGGCAGAAAAGGGAGGCAAAAGGCAACGCUGCUAGGGACAGAGAGUGGUGACGUGCCAGCUUCUGUUCGUUAAAACCCUGCUCUGGACCAUGAACACUGCUAGGCAAUUUUGUUAUGACAGCUCCUUGCAUCCUCCCAGCAUUUUACAGCUAAGGAAACUGAAGACCAUGAGGUUAAAUUCUUCACCCGAGGCCCACAGCUAGGGAUUAGCAGAAUCAGCAUUUAAACCCAAGGCUGCCUGACUCCAGUGUCACACCCAAACUUCCUAUCUCUCUGUUAGCAGUUCUUAGUUGCUGGGGAUUCAGACUCUAUUUUGUUGCUUGUAUAGUUCAAUACUCCCCACACUGUGGCCACAUUGCAGCCUGCAGAGGCAAUAAAAGGGAGGGGAAGGCAUGCAUUUCCUCUAAGGGCACAGCCCAGUGGCUGAAUACAUCAUUUCUUCUCACACUUUACACACUGGAAUGUAGUCAUAAGAGCCACAUCUGGGGGCAAAUGGAUUAUAGGUGAGCCUAAGAGGUUGCUCCCCUCGGCCCUUCAGGCAGACCUGAGAUAAUGGGUGUCUCUAGCCACAGGGAGCAGGUUCAUUACCCCAGCACACCAUGCAAAGGAAUGACUUUCUCUAGGAGUAUCGUCCUGUGCAAAAAUUGGGCUCCACUGACUUAGAAAACUAAAACUAGGUGGCCUAGAAGUCUGGAAAAAGAAUAGGAAAACAUUCCCAUGGUGUUGUCGGUGGGAAAAAAUGGAUAUCAAGGACAAGAGUGAUGGUCAGGCAUGGUGGCUCACAUCUGUAAUCCCAGCAUUUUGGGAGGCUGAGGCAGGCAGAUCACUUGAACCCAGGAGUUUGAGACCAGCCUGGGCAAAAUGGCAAAACUCCGUCUCUACAAAAAAUAUUUUUAAAAAUUAGCUGGGCGUGGUGGCAUGCACCUGUUGUCUCAGUUACUCAGGUGGUUGCAGAGGGAGCCUGGGAGGUCAAGACUACAGGGAGCCAAGAUUGCACCAGCACUACUGCACUCCAGCCUGGGUGACAGAGUGAGAUUCUGUCUCAAAAAAAGAGUAAAAAAAGGACAAGAGUGUGAAGACAAACUCCAUCAACUUUCACAAAAAGAUAAUCAUCAAUACAGGGACAUUUCUGCCAAAAUUAAUUGCAACUUGGGGAAACCCUUCUUUAAAUUGGUGAGAAAAUAAGAAAAAGGCCUGGUGCAGUGGCUCACCCCUGUAAUCCCAGCACUUUGGGAGGCCAAGGCAGGUGGAUCACCUGAGGUCAGGAGUUU